GCGGCGGUAGCCAAGCUCGGAAACGGCGCGAGAUUUAGGGUCUCGUCCCGCAGGGGUUCCCAGGUUCGAAUCCUGGCCGCCGCA
rnacentral:tRNA from 1 species